rnacentral:rRNA from 1 species
UAUUGCACAAUGGGCGCAAGCCUGAUGCAGCAACGCCGCGUGAGGGAUGACGGCCUUCNGGUUGUNANCCUCUUUUAGUAGGGAANCAGCGAAAGUGACGGUACCUGCAGAAAAAGCACCGGCUAACUACGUGCCAGCAGCCGCGGUAAUACGUAGGGUGCAAGCGUUGUCCGGAAUUAAUGGGCGUAAAGAGCUCGUAGGCGGCUUGUCGCGUCUGGUGUGAAAACCCGAGGCUCAACCUCGGGCCUGCAGUGGGUACGGGCAGGCUAGAGUGCGGUAGGGGAGAUUGGAAUUCCUGGUGUAGCGGUGGAAUGCGCAGAUAUCAGGAGGGACACCGAUGGCGAAGGCAGAUCUCUGGGCCGUAACUGACGCUGAGGAGCGAAAGCAUGGGGAGCGAAC